AAUUGCGAAGGCAGCUUUCUGGAUCAUUACUGACACUGAGGAACGAAAGCAUGGGUAGCGAAGAGGAUUAGAUACCCUCGUAGUCCAUGCCGUAAACGAUGUGUGUUAGACGUUGGAAAUUUAUUUUCAGUGUCGCAGGGAAACCGAUAAACACACCGCCUGGGGAGUACGACCGCAAGGUUAAAACUCAAAUGAAUUGACGGGGACCCGCACAAGUAGUGGAGCAUGUGGUUUAAUUCGAAGAUACGCGCAGAACCUUACCAACACUUGACAUGUUCGUCGCGACUCUAAGAGAUUAGAGUUUUCGGUUCGGCCGGACGAAACACAGGUGCUGCAUGGCUGUCGUCAGCUCGUGUCGUGAGAUGUUGGGUUAAGUCCCGCAACGAGCGCAACCCUCACUUUUAGUUGCCAUCAUUAAGUUGGGCACUCUGAAAGAACUGCUAGUGAUAAGCUGGAGGAAGGUGGGGAUGACGUCAAGUCCUCAUGGCCCUUACGUGUUGGGCUACACACGUGCUACAAUGGUAUCUACAACAGGAAGCAAAACGGCAACGUUAAGCAAAUCCCGAAAAGAUACCUCAGUUCGGAUUGCACUCUGCAACUCGAGUGCAUGAAGCUGGAAUUACUAGUAAUCGCGUAUCAGCAAUGACGCGGUGAAUACGUUCCCGGGCCUUGUACACACCGCCCGUCAAGCCAUGGAAUCUGGGAGUGCCUGAAGUCGGUAACCGCAAGGAGCCGCCUAGGGUAAAACUGGUAACUAGGGCUAAGUCGUAACAAGGUAACCGUA
rnacentral:rRNA from 1 species